CCUACGGGAGGCAGCAGUAGGGAAUCUUUCACAAUGGGCGAAAGCCUGAUGGAGCAACGCCGCGUGCAGGAUGAAGGCCUUCGGGUUGUAAACUGCUUUUAUAAGCGAGAAAUAUGAUGGUAACUUAUGAAUAAGGAUCGGCUAACUACGUGCCAGCAGCCGCGGUCAUACGUAGGAUCCGAGCAUUAUCCGGAGUGACUGGGUGUAAAGAGUUGCGUAGGUGGCAUAAUAAGUAGCUAGUGAAAUCUGGUGGCUCAACCAUUCAGACUAUUAGCUAAACUGUUAAGCUCGAGACCGUUAGGGGUAACUGGAAUGUCUAGUGUAGGAGUGAAAUCCGUAGAGAUUAGAAGGAACACCAAUAGCGUAGGCAGGUUGCUGGGACGGUUCUGACACUAAGGCACGAAAGCGUAGGGAGCAAACGGGAUUAGAUACCCUUGUAGUC
rnacentral:rRNA from 1 species